GACUAUAUUAAGGUUUAUUGUUGUUAUUAUAAUAUAUUGGAUUAGUAUUAUGAGUGAAAAUUGAGGUUACUUUAUAGAGAAAUGAGUACUGAUUAGGAAUUGUGUUAAUUUAUUAUAAAUAUUAGGUUGUUUAUUACCUUUUGUAUUAGGGUUUUUUAAUUUGGUUUGAUGUUAAUUUUAUCUUGAUGAAUAACGGGCUAUUAUUUAAGUGUGGCAGUUUUGUUGCAUAAAGUUGUUUAUUAUUUAAUGGUUAUGAAAUAUUAUUCAAGUUAUUUUUUAUCUAGUUUUCUAAGGAGUAUAAUAGUAGAUAUUUAUGUUAUGAAGGUAAGCGGGGAUUAGCUUGUUUAUUAUUUAUAUGUUUUUGUUAGGUUAUUUAUUAGUGAAGUUGAAAGUUCUUAAUUUGAUGAUGUUAUUAUAGAUUAAGUUUUUUUUGUUAAUUUUUUUAAGCUAUGUGUCAAUUAGAAAUUUUAUUUUAAUUUUUAUUUUAAGGGUAUAAUGAUGAAAUUAGUAAUAUAUUAAUUAUAAAUUUUGUUAUUAAAUUGGUUUUUGAUAGUGGUUUAUAAGGGGGAUUAAGGAUGAAGAAUUCGGCAAAAUUAGCUUUUGACUGUUUAGCAAAAACAUUGUUUUUUGUUAGUAUAAAAAAUAAGUUCUGUCCACUGUCUGUAUGAUGAAGGGCUGCGGUAUUUUGACUGUAUGAAGGUAGCAUAAUCAUUAGCUUUUUAAUUGAAAGCUGGUAUGAAGGUGAAACAGGGGCUGGCUGUUUUAUCUUUAAUAAAUGAAUUUUAUUUUUAUGUGAAAAAUCAUAAGUUAAUUUAAGGGACAAGAAGACCCUAGUAAGUUUUAUUUUUAAUUGUGAUGCUUAUAUAGGUUAAAAAUUUGUAUAAUUUAUGAUUUAGGAGUUUGACUGGGGCGGUAUGUUAAAAACAUUAUUUAUUAUUUAAUUUUUGAUAGCGGAGUUUAGACCUAAGAAGGUUAGGUGAAUGUAAAACUACUGUAGGGAUAACAGCGUAAUUUUUUUUAAGAGUUCUUAUUGACGGAAAAGUUUGCGACCUCGAU
rnacentral:rRNA from 1 species